UACGGAGGGAGCUAGCGUUGUUCGGAAUUACUGGGCGUAAAGCGUGCGCAGGCGGUUUUGAAAGUCAGAUGUGAAAUCCCCGAGCUCAACUUGGGAACUGCGUUUGAAACUCCAAAGCUAGAGUAUAGGAGAGGGGGGUAGAAUUCCACGUGUAGCAGUGAAGUGCGUAGAGAUGUGGAGGAAUACCAAUGGCGAAGGCAGCCCCCUGGCCUAAUACUGACGCUCAUGCACGAAAGCGUGGGGAGCAAACAGGAUUAGAAACCCCAGUAGUCC
rnacentral:rRNA from 1 species